GGAUCAGCGAGUAGUAGUGUGUAUGGUUCUAACAUUUGUGGUCCUUGUCCUUGGUGCCACUUUUCUCGGACAUAGACAAGCUCUUGGAUGGAUGGGAGUAGCACUGAGUGUACUCUCUCAUUCUUUUCGAAUUGGGUCCACGGAGUACUACAACAAGAUGAAUUGGUGCCUGUUUGUUGCAUCCGUGGUGGGAUCAGUAAAUGGAUUCUUGUGGCUUAUUCAUCCACAGUUAUGUAUUUCAAAAGAAUACAAGAAUUAUCGCUUCAUCUCCUUGAUGGUAACGGGUGACACCAACUUCGUGGCGUACUAAGAUGAACUUGUUGGUGAUUAAUGUUGUGAUUUCGGUCGAAACACGUUUAUCACCAAAUUUUGUUCCACUUGAUCAGUGUGCAAGAACAGAAAUGAUCAAGUGUAAUAUAUUAUUGGUAAGGAUUGUUUGAUUUUUU